GUGGGCCAGUAGAAAUCCUUGGGCCACUUCCACACAGGCUGAUCCGGCCGGCGGUGGGAACGCAGGGGAGGGGCUUGUAACUUCCGUGGUCCGGGAAGGCUUCCUGGAGGAGGCGCCAAACUCAGCUCCCCAGGUUUAAGGAAGCCAGAGGUCCGGCCACAGCCCCCCGCCCCUUCGGGGCUCGGCGGUGACCACGCCGGGACGAGAUGGACAAGCCGUUCAGAAGAACUUGGUGAUCUGAUGGAUUCUGAUACAAGCCCAGGUGCUUUGGAGAGGUUGACUCGCAGAUAAACAAGGGCCUGGCGGUGCCUUCCCGCGAGGACUCUUGAAAGUCAGGGACAUGAGACUCCGCGGAGGUAGGUUUGCAGCCCCUCGUGCUCUGGCGAAGUGAAAAGCCCAGGCCCCGGCCAUGGCUGGUCUGAGGUCCGGCCGGCCCGCCUGCAUCAGGGCGGCAUUUGCUAGCACCAGGGCCGGCUUCCAGAAGAGGUGGAGGAACACACCCCGUCGCUUCAAGGCCAAUCACAAAAAGAAUCACAUGGAGUUAAUUGAAGGUAUCUGGAGAGAGACUAUGCUGUUAGCUAUUUUUAUUCCCUGUUUUGGGGACUCCGUGACAGCGUUGACUGUCCACAGAAGAAAUGAGCUCUCUCGGGAGGUUUUCACCACCCAGUCUCAGCACCUGUUGUCCGGGCGACGUGACCUGUAUUGUGCCUUCACACACACCGACGUCCAGGAGUCCAGGAGAGGUGCGCGUAGAAGAUCCUCUCGCCUCAAAGAUCCCAGACCGCCUCCUCAAAGCUGCCAGCUGGGGCCCUGCGUCCCCGGAGGCCGACGACGUGGACAUGUGGCCUGUCGAGGCCAGCGGCCCCGAGGCGCCAGGGUGGCCAGCCGGGCCAUCCGGAGCCCCAGAGGACCGGAGAAUGACGGACGAGGGGUGGCCCAGGGCAGCCGGUCCCCUCCUCCCCGCCGCGGAGCCCUCUGAGCCCGGCAGACACACGCAGGGCAGGACCAGAGGGUCCCGGCCGCCUCCCAGACUUGGGAGUGAGAAGGACAAGGGGCCCAAGCUCAUCCUCUUCAAGAGGAAACUGGAACUCUUACUUGCAGAGCCCGAGAAAAGGAAGAGGAAGAAGCAGUAUGUGGCCUAGACUGAGGCAUGAACUGAGCACAAGCCUGGCGCCAGUGCCGGGUGGCCGCUGCCCACACGCCCCGGGACCCCCAGGACCGUGCUGUUCCCAAGUGCCAAUAAAGGGAAGCCCGAGGA